ACAGGACAGCAAAUCUAAACAUUAAUUUGGAUAAACUAUUAAACCAGGUAUUUUCACAAAAAGAACAAUCUGAGAUACCUGAACAGCGUGAGCCGGCACCCUGGACACCCACACACCCCAAUAAUUCCCCUUCAAAGAGCGAGCCACAUGGGAAGAUUGUUGUCAUUCACUUGCAAGGGGAGAUUCCAGUGCGUCCAGAGGUCUGGGCAAAAAUAAAAAACAACACAAGGGACUCCAUGUUCGUGAAGGAGUUGGCUGUGGCGUUUUGGGGCACCGACACCUUAGGGGAAAGGAGCCUGACUGGAAAGGAAUGCCCCACCACCAAGACCACCA